rnacentral:lncRNA from 1 species
GGGCUAAAUAAUUAAGGAUAAUGAGUUCAAAAGGCAAAUGCUUUGGUUCGCGCUAUCUUUUAAAGAUUCCUAGUAAUCCAAUGAGAAUAAAAAAAUAUGACGGUGUUUGGCUAAACGCACUAAGUAAUCUAGUUGAUAAUAUUGGAUUUACUUGGGAAUAAGAUUCACCCCAAAGUACUAAUCUCAUUCCCUUGAGGGAGGGUGGGUAUCCUCAUAUUAAUGGAUUGGGGGGGUAAUUAUAAUAUGUCUAAUCUCUUUCUUUCUUCUUACCCGCCGGCUAAUUGAUAUUAUUUUUCUUUAUACUCUAACCUUAUAUCUCUCUCUAAACUUAUUUUUCUCUCUAAAAUUCAACUUUUUCUCUCUCUCUAAACUAAGCUUUCUCUUUCUCUCUCUUUCUAAAAUUUCAACUCUCUCACUCCCUCUAAUUUCGACUAUAUUUUUCUUUCUAUUUUUUUAAAACUUUUGGUAACAUUAUAUAAAAUUAAUUAAACAAAUUAAUUAAUUAAUUGUAUAUUUUUUGUAAUAUUAAAUAAUAUGGCUAAUUAAUAUUACCGCGCGAACCAAACACAGGAAUUCCACAUUCUUAGUAAUAGAAUGAAUUGGAAUAAGAUUCUCGGAUAUCUUUUAUUCCUAAUAAUUUUUUAUAAUGCGAACCA